rnacentral:rRNA from 1 species
GGAAUCUUCCACAAUGGACGCAAGUCUGAUGGAGCAACGCCGCGUGAGUGAAGAAGGUCUUCGGAUCGUAAAACUCUGUUGUUAGAGAAGAACACGAGUGAGAGUAACUGUUCAUUCGAUGACGGUAUCUAACCAGCAAGUCACGGCUAACUACGUGCCAG